CACGUAGUUAGCCGGGGCUUCUUAAUCAGGUACCGUCAUUUUCUUCCCUGCUGAUAGAGCUUUACAUACCGAAAUACUUCUUCACUCACGCGGCGUCGCUGCAUCAGGGUUUCCCCCAUUGUGCAAUAUUCCCCACUGCUGCCUCCCGCAGGAGUCUGGGCCGUGUCUCAGUCCCAAUGUGGCCGUUCGCCCUCUCAGGCCGGCUACUGAUCGUCGCUUUGGUAGGCCGUUACCCUGCCAACUGGCUAAUCAGACGCGGGUCCAUCUCACACCGAUAAAAUCUUUUCCGUCAGUGCCAUGCGGCACCGGCAGCUUAUGCGGUAUUAGCGGUCGUUUCCAACUGUUAUCCCCCUGUGUGAGGCAGGUUACCCACGCGUUACUCACCCGUCCGCCACUCAGUCACAAGAGACUUCAUCCGAAGAAUCGUUCUCAGGUGCUUCGUUCGACUUGCAUGUGUUAAGCACGCCGCCAGCGUUCAUCCUGAGCCAGGAUA
rnacentral:rRNA from 1 species